AUUCAUCUUUAACGUUUUCACUAAUGGGAAACUCCCACGGCCAUCACAAAUUCCCCAACGGCGGUUUACCAGCUGCUUCACCCUUUAUAAAUGAACAGCCACCGCAAGUCCCCAGCUCAGCCCAGCCUCCGCACAACCAAACCCCGAGCACCAUGGUAAUCACUUUGCCUUACGCUCACGUCGACUGCAACCUGCGAGCCCUUGCAGGCCAAGCCGAGGGUUUCGGUCGCCAUGCCAUUGGAGGCGUCCGCGGACCCCUUUAUCAUGUCACUUCCUUAUUAGAUGAUGGUCCAGGAUCGCUUAGAGACGGAUGCCGGAGGAAAGAGCCACUAUGGAUUGUCUUUGAAGUGUCAGGCACAAUUCAUCUUAGGUCAUUCUUGAGUGUCUCUUCUUAUAAAACUAUUGAUGGCCGGGGUCAAACAGUAAAACUCACUGGCAAAGGUUUGAGGCUGAAGGAAUGCGAGCACGUUAUCAUAUGCAAUCUAGAGUUGGAAGGGGGAAGGGGAGAUGACGUUGAUGGCAUUCAGAUAAAACCCAAGUCCAAGCACAUUUGGAUAGAUCGUUGUAGCCUUCGUGAUUACGAUGAUGGCUUGAUAGAUAUCACACGAGAAAGCACCGAUAUUACCAUUUCAAGGUGCCGCUUUUCACAGCAUGACAAGACAAUUCUCAUUGGAGGUCAUCCACCCCAGAGCAGUGACAGAUGCAUUCGUGUAACCAUUCACCAUUGUUUUUUUGAUGGGACUCGUCAGCGGCACCCUCGUGUUAGAUUUGCCAAAGUACAUUUAUACAAUAAUUACACGAGGAACUGGGGCAUUUAUGCUGUUUGUGCCAGUGUAGAAUCUCAGAUAUACUCCCAGUGCAACAUUUACGAAGCAGGAGAGAAGAAGGUUGCUUUUAAGUAUCUUACUGAGAAGGCACCUGACAAGGAGAAAGCAGGGACUGGCUACGUUAAGUCUGAAGGAGACUUAUUUACGACUGGAACUCAAGCAGGGUUAAUGUCAGAAAGUGGAGAACACUGUAAGUUUCAUCCCAGUGAGUACUACCCCGAGUGGACGGUGGAAGCUCCUACUGCCAAGCUUAAAAAGACUCUCCAACAUUGUACUGGAUGGCAGUGUGUUCCACGGCCAGCUGAUACAGUAUAGACUGCAUUGUAAAGUUGGAUGAAGUAUAUUUGUGCACUUUAAGUAAUUUUCUUCUUGGUCCUUCAGAAUCUCAAAUCUCGGUUGAAAGUGUGUCUGUAUAGGAUAUAUAGCAUAACAUGUCUUUAACAAAAUCAAAAUAGUUUUGUUAAAGGGUGUGUGUUGUCCCCGUCCUAUGUAUUCCCUGUCAAAAAAAAAAAAAAAGUUGUGCUUGAGUAUGGUGUGGUGAUGUUUACCAUCUUUUAGGUGUCUCCACGCAUAGGGGUUGGUCCUUCAGGAUUUUACAUCACUUGUGAAAAGUGUUUAGCGUGUCUUGACAAAAUUAUCAUGAUUUUGUCAAAAAUAAUGUAUAAGCCUUAUUAUCAUUACAUGGAACACACACAAUAAGGA
rnacentral:misc_RNA from 1 species